rnacentral:rRNA from 1 species
GAUGAACGCUAGCGGCGUGCCUAAUACAUGCAAGUCGAGCGAAGCGGGGACGGGUGAGUAACACGUGGAUAACCUCCUAUAAGACUGGGAUAAAUUCCGGAAAACGGAGCCAAACCGGAAACUUAUCGAUGGAUCCGUGCUGCAUUAGCUAGUUGGUAAGGUAACGGCUUACAAAGGCAACGAUGCAUAGCCGACCUGAGAGGAGGAUCGGCCACACUGGGACUGAGAAACGGUCCAGACUCCUACGGGAGGCAGCAGUAGGGAAUCUUCCGCAAUGGGCGAAAGCCUGACGGAGCCACGCCGCGUGAGUGAUGAAGGCCUUCGGAUCGUAAAGUUCUGUUAGUAGGGAAGCGGUACCUAAACAGAAAGCCACGGCUAACUACGUGCCAGCAGCCGCGGUAAUAC